UUAAUUUUUAAGUUAAUUCAGACACAGACAUAUGGCAUAAAUACGACGCCAAGGCGCCGAAGCACGGCUAUAUUCCACGGGUUUUGAAGUUGAAGGCCGAAGCCAUUCGUUAAUGAUCCCUCCGCAGGUUCACCUACGGAGA
rnacentral:misc_RNA from 1 species